rnacentral:rRNA from 1 species
AAAUUGAAGAGUUUGAUCAUGGCUCAGGUUGAACGCUGGCGGCAGGCCUAACACAUGCAAGUCGAACGGUAACAGGAAGCAGCUUGCUGCUUCGCUGACGAGUGGCGGACGGGUGAGUAAUGUCUGGGAAACUGCCUGAUGGAGGGGGAUAACUACUGGAAACGGUGGCUAAUACCGCAUAACGUCGCAAGACCAAAGAGGGGGACCUUCGGGCCUCUUGCCAUCAGAUGUGCCCAGAUGGGAUUAGCUUGUUGGUGAGGUAACGGCUCACCAAGGCGACGAUCCCUAGCUGGUCUGAGAGGAUGACCAGCCACACUGGAACUGAGACACGGUCCAGACUCCUACGGGAGGCAGCAGUGGGGAAUAUUGCACAAUGGGCGCAAGCCUGAUGCAGCCAUGCCGCGUGUAUGAAGAAGGCCUUCGGGUUGUAAAGUACUUUCAGCGGGGAGGAAGGUGUUG